AGCAGCCGCGGUAAUUCCAGCUCCAAUAGCGUAUAUUAAAGUUGUUGCAGUUAAAAAGCUCGUAGUUGAAUUUCGGGAUCAAUACGUCGGUCGUGCUUCGGUACGUACUGGCGUCAUUGAUUUCUCCCUUCUGACGAACCAUGAUGUCAUUAACUUGGUGUCAUGGGAAAUCAGGACUGUUACUUUGAAAAAAUUAGAGUGUUUAAAGCAGGCUCACGCUUGAAUACAUUAGCAUGGAAUAAUGAAAUAGGACGUUCGAACCUAUUUUGUUGGUUUCUAGGAUCAACGUAAUGAUUAAUAGGGAUAGUUGGGGGCAUUAGUAUUCAAUUGUCAGAGGUGAAAUUCUUGGAUUUAUUGAAGACUAACUACUGCGAAAGCAUUUGCCAAGGAUGUUUUCAUUAAUCAAGAACGAAAGUUAGGGGAUCGAAGACGAUCAGAUACCGUCGUAGUCUUAACCAUAAACUAUGCCGACUAGGGAUCGGAUGAUGUUAAUUAUUUAAUGACUCAUUCGGCGCCUUACG
rnacentral:rRNA from 1 species